rnacentral:lncRNA from 1 species
GAGAUCGCCAUGAUGGGGAAGAAGGAAGAGGAGACCUAAAGGCCAGCUGACAUCAGGACUUUGGGUCCCUAACCUGUAACUCAGCACUCAGUCCAUCAUGGGCUAUGCUAGUCUCUGUGACUUCUCCAGGGCAGGAAAGUGACAGGUUUCUGUGCAAGGGAGCCCGAGGUGCCUGGUUCAGGAUGGAGAGGUCACUUGAAAGGCCUCAAAAGCAAGCACAGUUAGAGGACAUCAGCGAUGUUAAAACCCCACGAGGGUCAACAGUAGCCCAGGCAAAAUAAAGGAGCCUGAAGUGGAAAAACAGAAAUGGAACAAGGCGUUUGUUCUGGAGCACAUGAGAUUGUCCUUCUAAGACAUUUCCAGAAGUAUUCAAAGGAAGAUUUAAUGGGAAAUCAUUAUGCAAAAGAGUCAGUAAUAUAUUUUAGUUUCAAAAAGUACGGAGCAUGACGCCUGUCAAUUAUACCUUCUGCAAAGGUGAGUGGCGGUUGUCCUUGCUGUUCCAAAAUGCAAAGAGAAACAAACAAACAAACAAACAAACAAACAAACAAACAAACAAACCAGCUACUCCUAUUCCACACUCCAAACACCAAGCAGAAAUGCUUCUGGGAAUUAGCAAUUGUGGACAAACUGAGCUUCAUUCUUUAUGAAAAUGAAAACACUUCUUCUUUCUGUGCACUAGGAAAUUGUUCUGCCUCUGAGCUGCAAAACCAGCUCCAAACUUGAAAAUUUUGUGCAUCAAAGGAAAAAGGCAACCUACAGGAUGGGGGAGAAUAUUUGCAGGACACACAUCUGGGAAGGAAUACAUAUUUAGACUGAAUGAAAUGAGUAAGAGGAGGGAUAGGGAGUUCGUGUUCAAUGUUGAGAGUUUGGGACAGUUGACAAAACGCUCCCGAGUGUUCUACAGAUGAAUGAUGGUGAUGACUGCAUCAGUGUGAAUGUCCUUAAUGCCAUCAAAAAUUGGUUAUAAUGGCAAAUUUUAUGCUACAUAUGUUUUACUACAAUAAAAAUGCCAGGAAAAUC